rnacentral:hammerhead_ribozyme from 1 species
AUCCAGUUGACGACUCUCACAAAGGACGAAACGCGUGUCCUGGAU